CCAAGCUGGCUCAGAACUCAGGACAUUCCAAACCAACUGCCACAGGACAGCUGUGCCAAGAAUUCACUUCCCUUCAACUGACAAAGUCUGGAUGAGCAGGCCAGAAGAGCAUAAACACAAUUCUGUUUAAGAAAAAUGGAGAAGAUGACCCUGAUUACCAGCAAAGGAAGCAAAUGGUACAGGACAGGACAGCUGAUUCUCUGCUCUAAAUGUACCUAAAAAUAUACACCCUGCAGCUGUAUUUUAAAUAUAGAAUGUUUUUGGAA